AUACGGAGGGUGCAAGCGUUACUCGGAAUCACUGGGCGUAAAGCGCGCGCAGGCGGCUAUUUAAGUUGGAUGUGAAAGCCUACGGCUCAACCGUAGAACUGCAUCCAAAACUAUUUAGCUAGAGUGUGGGAGAGGAAGAUGGAAUUAGUUGUGUAGGGGUAAAAGCCGUAGAGAUAACUAGGAAUACCAAAAGCGAAGGCAAUCUUCUGGAACACUACUGACGCUGAGGCGCGAAAGCGUGGGGAGCAAACAGGAUUAGAAACCCCUGUAGUCC
rnacentral:rRNA from 1 species